UAAUUUUUGCGGUUCUUUGUGUAUUCUAGUAUUCUAGCUACAAAUGCCUGGCCUGGUGGACAGAGAUAAACAUCCCCCCCGCCCAGGUUCUCUCUUCACUAUGCUGACCUUUUCUUUGCUGUGUAGAAGCUUUGGGGCUGCAUUUAAUCCUAUUUGCCAGUUAUCACAAUUAUGAAAAUUCUUCCCUUGAUGGAAUUGGUGGGUUAGUGUUUUCUUCUAUUAGUUCAUGCAUGCAUUUUUUGAAUAGAAGUUAUUUGUUGCUAGUCACAUAGCAGAGCAUUCAGUGUAAAUUCUCUUAGUAUCUUCAUAGUGGUUUGUGGCUGUUGUUUAAACAAAGUCUUGUUACGUGGCCCAGGUCGGCCAUGAACUUGUGACCUGCUGUAUCGGAGUACUAGAAUUGUAACUGUGUAGCACUCUGGGAUUCCUUACGCUCCUUCCCAAUCAAAUGCCUCAUCACAGAUUUGUCUGUUAUUUAAAACUUCCGUUAUAUUUUGUUGUUGUUAUUUCUCCUCUCCCACCUCCUUCUAUUGUUUGAGACAGAGUCUCCCUACAUGGUCCUUACUGGCCUGAUACUCACUACGUAGCUCAAACUGGUCUCGAGCUCACAUAUGCUUGCCUCUCUGUCCCAAGUGUUGGGAUAAAAGGUGUGUACCACCUUGGGCAGCAGAAACUAUUUUUAAUGAUUAAUCCAAUUGACUGGUCUUUCUUCAAUCUUAUUGAAAGCUUGGGCUUGUCACCCUUUUAACUUAUAGGAAUAGUUAUUAUUCGUGUUGUAGUUAUUUCUCUCUCAACAUCUAUCACAUUUUGCGAGUUGGUGGUCCAGGGACAUUUAUACCCUUGGGAAGUGUCCCACAGUCAGGUUCAGGAUGGGCAAGCAUUAGCUCCUUAAAGCAGACAACUUCUCACAGGCACAGUGUCAGCCGCCUAACAGCUGGGAAUGGGGGAUCUGGACUGAGUCAGCCCUCUCUGGGCUAUUAAUGCUGCCGCUCCCUUGGGAAAGGUUCCCUCAGCCCUCAGAUACACUUUCCCCUAGACAGAUGGCCGUUUUGUCCAGGAGAGUGGAGGCUGUGCCUGUGAAGAUGGUGCCAAGUGACUUAAGAACAGCACCGAGUGGGCAGAGGAGGCACAUCAGUCAGCCUUCCACCAUUACACCAGACGUCUGAGGUCACCAGCUAGGAAAGAGAACCCUUUGUUUUGUUGAACAGUGUUGAUAUGCCUUGAACAAUUGGUCCCAUGGCUUUGGGCCUGCGGUGAAGCAUGUCUUGGUGAAAGCCCAGGACAGUGCAAAAUCUCCUGCUUCACUCAAGGGAGGGAGAAAGGAAGAGAGUGGGGGUGCCAUUAUCCCUUUCCAGGAAGACCUGAAGACCCCUCAGUAAACUCCACCCACCAAUAGCAUCGAGCAUGGGAACAAGACUUUCCAAGCAAGUCUUGGGGGAUGUGAUGAUCAUUGUCACAUCAACUCGACACAACCUGGAGUCACCAGAGAGACAGCUGCUGGGAGGGGUACACUGGGCUCCUGGCAGGCUGUCAAGGGCUUAUCUUACCAGGUUAAUAGAUGGAAGAAAACCCACUUAACCCGGGGCAGGACCAUUCCUUGUGCAGGGGUCCGGGACUGCACAAACCGGGGAAUGUGAUCUGAGUGCCUGCACUGCUGUUUCCUGGCUGUGGGUGUGGCCUGAGAAGCUGCCCCAAGCUCUUGCUUCCAUUCCAUCUGAGUCACGUCGUUCUGUACCCUUGAACUCUGAGCCAAAACAAAUCCUUUCUCCGUUCAGUUGUGUUCGCCAGGGUGUUUUAUCCCAGUUACAGGAAAAGAAACCAAGACGGGGAUAUCCAUACAAACCACAGCAAACACUUGAGGAGCCUGGGAAGAAGUGACCAAAGACGUAAGAGAAAACUCAGAAGAAAGCAGUGACCCUGAAACUGAGACAGGAGACUUUCGGGAAGGAGGGAGCUCACAUUGUACAAUGCCUCCGCAAUAACUGGGGAAGAUGUGCUUAUAGACCUUGGGGCAAAGAAGAGAACAAGGAAUAUGGCCAAUGAGCAUCAAGACAGGAGCACAGACUCCGCUGGUUCAUACAUAGAAACCGGAGGAAAUAGGCAAAGGCAAACUGGGGGUAUUGCCACACUUCCCCAAAUGUAACCCCUGAGCCCCUGGUGAUCUGCUUUUGUGACCUGUGGAAUUUUCUGCCUACUGUUUUAAUGCCUUAUGGCCUAUGUAUUGUGAGAUUUAUUGUUUAUUUUUGGUACAGAUGUUUGUCUGUUUGUACCUGUGAAGACUUAACACUAUGCACACGUGGGCCAGAGGCCAGCUUGCAAGAGUGGGUUCUCUUUUUUCCAUCGUGUGGGCCCUGGUGUUAGAUCGCCAGGCUUGGUGCCUGUACUGUCCCUGCUGUGUGAUUUUUUAAAAAAGAUAAUUUAAAAACAAGGUAAAGUUGCUCAUUUUCCUAGUAAGUUGUAGGACAGUCUUGAGUUUGCAGCUGGAGUUUUGUUUCCCCCAAGAGAAUUUUCUUGUCUUUCUGCAGAUCAUGUCAAGGUAGUGACACCACCUUCCCUCAGACAGCAGAGUCCCUGGAGGGCCGGCAUGUGGCUGAGUUCUCAGGGAAGAUUCCCUCGCCCACGAGCAAACCCAAACACAGGUGUUUCCUUGCCCUGUUUUGCACAGUGGGUUUGUUUCUUACCUUGAGAAUGUAGCUCCUGCAAUGGGGCAGGUUUGGGUGGGGCAUCCUAGCAGACUAUUUUAGUAGGGUUUCAGGCUUAACCUCACAAACCCCAAGCUGUGGAAACAGUCAACAGAAACUCAGGGCAGAGGGCAGCUUUGCCGCCAGACUGCUUCCCAAGGUGAUUCCCAUUGGAAUCAUAUGGAUUGAAAAGACACCUUUAAAAAUGACAGAAUAUGGGCCAGCGAGACGGCUCUGUGAGCAAAGGCACUUGCUGCCAAACCUGAUGACCCCAGUUUGAUCCUCCAGGCCCCAUAUGGUGGGAAGGGAGAAAUGACCGCCACGAGUGGUCCUCUGACCUCCACGCGUCCUCUCUUUCAUUACAUAAAUCAAAAAGCAAUACGGACUAAGAAUACAGAAUCAUUUUAGUAUGAUUUUCUUCUUGUCUAUAAGUUUCAAUUUUAGCCUCAAAGAGCAAGACUAAGAUGAUCAGUGUCUAUGUCCUUCUACUUUCUAAAGAAUGUCUGUGUGCGCAAGGCAUUGUGUCUUUAUGCAGGAAAUCCGCUGGAGAGAAAAAUCACGUGGUUUUAAAAGAUUCAAGGUCUUGGCCGACCUGCCAAGCCUGGAGAGCACAGUAUAUAGAUCUCCUUUAGGUCCAGUGGCCUGAGCACCAGGAGACCCGACGGUAUAAGCUCUAGAAUGAAAGUCUGGAGGCUUGAGACACACUGGGAGCACAGCUUCCCUGUGACACUCCCCUAGCCAAACACAGCCACCCCGGCCCCCAGAACCUAGCCAGGCGUAGGUGAGCUAACCGGCAGACGUUGGCCAGAACUCAGUGAGCCCGAGUGAGGAGAGUUUUUGUUUUCAGUCACUGGUGUAUGGGUGGAGCUGUUGGGUGGUGAUAACUAACUCACUGAACGCCAUACAGGAAGAUGUCUGAAUAACUUCUUAAUUUGUCUUGGCCCAAAGCCUGAGAAGUGAUUAGAUAAGAAAAUGGGUUCUGUAAGCUCACUGCAAGCUGUCCACAUGCCCUAAGAGCUGUGCUAAGGUGGUGAGCCUUUGUGUACGUGAGACACUAAGAAAGUGAAGCUUCUAAUCACAGGUGGGAAGGGGGUGCCUACAAUUACUCAACUAAUGGUGUUGAUAUCCCCAAAAAGCCCCCAACCAGACAAAAAUAAAAAGCAGAAAUUAGUGUCCACAGGGUCUGCAUCCGGUGCUGUAACCAAAUGUAGAUCAAAUGUGUUUUUUAUAAAAAUGGUGGCUGUAUUGCACAAAUAUAGAUGUCUCGUGCCAGCCUUCGAGACCACGACAUGGCAACCACUGUGUGGCGUCUAUCUGUGUUCGGUGGUAUAAAUAAUCUUGAGAUGAUUUCAAGGAUGUGGGAAGAUGUGUGCAGAUUGUAUGCAAAUAAGCCAUUUCCCAUAGGCACUCGGGUGUUUGUGGAGUUGGGCCUUUGCAGGAGGUUGUGGGAUCCCAGAAUCUGCACUGGAUAUGAAGGGAAAACUAUCUCCAGAAUAUUUGAAAAAUUCCUGCACAGAAACUAAAGGCAAGGAACUCAUUUUAAAGAGAGUAAAAGCCUUAAGAAACGUUUGACCAAAGGGGGAACUCAAACAGACAGCAGUCGGCUGUUUUCUCAAUCUCAGAAAACAGAGAGCUAGACAACAAAACCCUAAUUGCAAGGUGGCAGCCUAGGGCUCAAGACUCAAGUAUGGCUUGUGAGAAAAUUCCAGUCUCAAGGCUAACCCAGAAACAUAAGAAACAGGAUGCACAAGGGUAGCCCAGAAACUUAAGAAACGGAAUGCCUGACAUGAGUUACCGAACACGCGCUGAGAUGCGCAGCGUCGCAGGCCGGCCCCCACACCUCCAGGCAGUGGUGUUUUCUCUGGGGACUCAGAAGAAGAGUUUCAUCUUGGGGUUAGUAUAAGGCACAGAGAAUGUUGCAGGAGAUAACGGGCCAGACAGAGCAUGGAAACUCACCUGCAGCAUGAAAAUACUGGCUAGGUCUACAUGAGCCCUUUCCUUUGUUUUAUGCUCUGGCAGCCACGUGUUUGGGGGUAAAGCUGCCUCCAUCCACCUGUGGGGAUGGAAUGUGGUAGGGCCUGAGCCGCUGACCAUGGUCCCACUUCACUGGCCACAGAUGGAAUAUUCAGCCUUCCGAUCUGUAAAUUUAAUCAAUUGGGAAUAAAAGUGUUAGGGGGAAAAGUUACAUCUGGAUUUAAUAAGUAAAGAUUUCUUUCUUGUCAUUCCCUAAAUGCUGUAACAACUACUUACAUAGCACUGACCAUGCAUUAGGUAUUAUAUGUCAUCCGAGAAUGAUUUAAAGCAUAUGGUUAUAUGCAAAUACCAUUUUAUUAGAUACCUGCAGAUGUUUUUAAGAUUUAUUUUUAUUUUAUGUUAAUGACUAUUUUAUCUGCAUGUAUGUUAGUGCACUGCAUGCAUGCCUGGUGCCCGCAGAGAUUAGAAGAGGGUUCGAAUCUCCUGGAACUUGAGUUACAAAUGAUUGUGAGCUGCCAUGGGGGUGCUGGGAAUGGAGCCUCGGUCCUCUGAACCACUGAGUCAUCUUCCCAGUCCCCCAUCUGUUGAUUUCUAUACCUGGGGGUCCUGGAACCUCACCCUGAAGACUUGAAUGCAGACGAGAAGAUCUGUCAGUUCGUGGCGGUCAAGUCAUAGUUUAUUAGUUAGCUCUUCACGAUAACAUGCAUGGGAAAUAGUUGGACAAUAACGAUAAUAUUGCUUUUGAUGAGGCAAAGUAAAAAUUAAGGUAACUGGUCCAUCAAUAGUCAGGAACCAGUCAUAGAGAUGGCACACAGA